ensembl:snoRNA predicted gene, 27619
AGUUUGCCGUGGACAUAGCCAUUACAAAAUAAGGCCCUGGGGUUUUCCAUGUACUGCUUUGUUAGCAGUCAACCUGCUUGGAAUGUCU